UGCUCGCCCGCUGAGGGGCGGCUCCGGGGGGGGGGAAGUGCGUGCUGAGAAGUGUGUGCCGCGUCCCGGCGGGUGAGCGCUUCUGACCAGCAAGUUACCAGGACAGGAUGUCACAGGAGUAAGCUGAAGCAUGAAUAUCCAUCUGCUCACCAGUACCUGCCUGCCUAUGUGCACUUGCUAUUCGGUGGAAGAGGGUGCUGCCUAGAAACCUGAGCCUCACAGUGCACCAACCUGGAAAUACUUAUAAGAAGAUUGUCUCUGUCUCAGAAAUCUUAAACAAUAAGCAAAAGACAAAAGAUGAAGAGAGCAGGAGGAAAAAGCCUUUAAUACACAGAGGACAUCACUAGUGUUGGAUUGUUUCUGGCAGACAGAUGCAGGACAGGCUGGAGCAACAUCUCAGUGUAACCAGAGCCAGAAACAACUACAACGGCAGCAGGAGAGGUGCACGGUUCCAUUAUGGUCUGUGACACAGUGAAGAGGGCAAGAGGGUGCAGCUCCCUUAGCCCUCCCAGCAAAUCCACAAAUAAGAACAACUCAAAGCUUUGUGCCACUUUGGUGCAAAGUGAGGAUAACAUAGCACUUCUGUGUUGAUGGAAAUGUUGGCACGAAAAAAAUUGGGUCCUCGAUAUUUUAUGAAACACAAAUAUUGCCAGUGGUGGGUUUUAAUUUAAGCAACCUGUAAGAGAAGGAAUUGGAAGCAGCUGGGACUUGGAGAUUUCACCAGUAAUUUACUUGAAAGAAAGAGUAGUGUCAACUGCAGGACUGUAGCAGUGUAACAGUGGGCACCUGAUACAAUGCAGUCUGAUAAACAAGCGGAGCUAUUAUGUCUGAAUCACUGCCACACAAAAAGGUCCCAUCAGGUCUCAAUUGCUGAGCAGUUCUGUGGGCCUUACUGCCAUCCUGCAACGCAUGCGUCCUCUGGCUUCAGCGAAUGUCUUAAAUGUUUCAUAACCUUAAACUCCAAAGCAACCUAGGAGAUCUUUCCUGCGCUUUUUUAUGUUGUUGAUGGGCAUUUCAUAGUGAUGAAAACCAAUCGGCUCCACUGCCAUGCUUAAGAAGGUCAGGGUGUAACAUUCUGAUCAGGAAAUACCCCCAAAAGCAGGCAACCUUGGGUAGCCUCUUGCACACUGACAGAAGAAGCAGCUGUUGGUCUGGGAAGAGAACCUUAGUCUGUACAGGCUGUUCUUACUGCCAAGCUCAGCAGAGAAGGGAAUUUACAGGUGCCUCCACGUGGUUCUGCAGCUCAGCUCGUUCUGCGCAUCCCCAGACAUGGAGAUGGCGACUAAAGAUUUACUGAUCUUACAGAGGUGGGGAGUACAGGCUGGAGGGAAGGAGAUCCCUUGGAAGUAGAGAAAACUGGAGCAGACACACCUGUCCCAGAGGUUGUAGCUCUACUACUAAGCUAAACAGCGAUGGGCUUGUUCUCUGACUUAGAGACCAGCUGUGACCAUGCUGUUAAAUUGAGCUGGUCUCCGAAGCAGAGCUGCCAUACACAGGCUGCCAAACCAAGAGCAGCUCCUGCUCACACUCAAGUCCUGAAUCACACCAGCAAAUUAUUUGGCCAGUUGCUAGCUGGCCCGGAUCAACUAGUUAAAAGUGUAACGCUGCAGAGUAUUAUAGGGGAGAGAUAUUCUGCUGUGAUCCCCUUUGCUGCAGGGUCCUACAAAAUUUCUCUGCCUCUUCGCUGGCAAUUGCCUUACUGGUGACUGAGGAAGUGGAAGGCCAAAGCAUGUGGCAGCUCACUGUUCUUGAGACCCCUGCAGCGCUCAAGCAACACUGACCUACUUCCAUGUCCUCUGUGGUUAACGCUGCGCAACGGCAAGGGCAGGCUGUGUGGCAAAAAGCAGGUGCUCCCAAAAAAGCUGUCAAGGAAUGAAAACCUUUUACAACGAAGGCUAGAACUGACCACGUCACCAAGUCACCAGAUAGCUCUGGCCCAGUUCACAGAAAACCCAUCUGGUCUUUCCUCUGGGCUGGACCUGUGCUGCUGUGCUGUACACCGCACACAAAGGAGUUCAGCUCUCAGGUCCCCCCUGAGUUAACAGCUGCCCUUGCCCAAAGCACUGGGACUCGUGUUUGCUACUACAAAAUAUUUUGCAUGCACAAAGGCUUUAAAUACAAUCUAGUCAUACAGACUGUGACCUGUGGAUUCUUUAAGGAGUAGGCAGUUUUUCUGUUUAGAGUGCUUGCUACUGAAAAUACAGCAGCAACAGCCUCAGGAGCGAGAAAACGCAGGCUUAAUAAUUGGGGGGGGGGGGGGGGGG